rnacentral:autocatalytically_spliced_intron from 1 species
AGAUAUCCUUCAAAACUUAAAAAGAUGAAGGAUAGAAUGAAGAAUCUAAGACGAACCCUCAACGACUAUACGCCAAGAUCCCGAAAUUUCGGGAAAAUGAUAUAGUCUGAACCCUUAAGCGAUUAAGGG